CCGGAGUUCCAGAUGCUGGUCGACAGUGGGUCUUCAUUCUCAUUUCUUCCAGCACAAAUUUUUGAAAAGGUGGCUAAUGAGUUUGACAGCCAAGUAAAUGCUUCAAAAUCAAGCUUUGAAGGAUACCCAUGGAAGUACUGCUACAAAUCCAGUUCUGAUGGGGUGCCUAAGCUUCCUUCUUUCACU